GUAUGUCGGGUUUACAUUAGAAUUAGGGUUAGGGGCGUGAAACGAAUCUUCGUUUGGGUUACACGUUGUCGUUAUGCAAUAGAGAAGACAUUGACUAGUGCAAAUACGAUUAUUAUAGAACCGGACGAGUAACCGUGGUAGUUAGGUACUCGAGAAACUAAUGACAAUGAUCCUAGGUUCAAUAACGAAUCCGCGGUCGACGGGAUGAUAGAUGAACGCACUCACAAAAUCUAAGUCGGAUGCGUAAUAUUCACUGGUCGUAAAGGGUUACUCCUUUCAUCAGUGAGAUCGCGAGCGAGAAUGUCUUUCCCGUCCCGAUGAUGCCACAGAGGAAAACUAUAAUGGGGUGUGUCUAAGGACACGAGAUCAUCGGAUUCGUCGAGAAAAGCCUUCGUUCAGAAAGUAAGGGAAAUUGGCGUUGCUGCUAAUUGGUCAAUCUCCUUAUCGGUGGUUAGAAAAAGAUGCUAGCAGCCCUCGAGGGAAAGUUGCUAGUGGGAGACGCCGCUCGUUGAAAAAUAGGUCUCCCCUAUUUUCCCGUAAUUGGGACAAAGACUGUUUGUCUGUUUGAAGGACUUUAGUUGACUAAAUCUUAAGAUUUAUAACGGGCCCUCGGGCUAGCCGAACACGUACUGCGGAGACGCGUCGGCAUCUGGUAAACAUCCUGCCCGGAGAAUAGGAUCUGCGUGUGGCGAGCUACGGGACAGAAACCGUUGGAAUGUUUACUGCCACGUGUUGCUACAAAUCUUUCUUUUAAGGAGAGCUAUAGGAUUAUUCAAUGCCUUUUGUUAGAUGGAGAGUUCGUCCCGUUGACCGCGGCUACGUUCGGCGACUAAUUGUCGCCCUGAGCCCAAGCUCAUUGUCACAAGUCUCAAACAAAUACAAUUGGGUAGAAUGACGGCAAAUCGUUUAAUUACAACUGUAGGUUUUAAUUACAAUGUUUUUAUGGAUUUUCCCGAGGUUUCAGAGGGAAGGCACCGGUGUCUUCUUAUCUCCGAUAUAUAUAUGUCGGAGAUGGAAGGACAGCGGGACUUUCCGUCGGGAAUGCUGGGAAAAACCUUCCAUCACCAUAGUCAAGAUUUUAAUGUUUAAGCCAUAAAAAUAAGGAAAACAACUUUUAAUGUUCCAACCUGGCGUUACGACGAUGGGUUCAGGUUUAAGGUGACAUAACGGGUCACCAGACGUAGCCGCGGUCACGGGAGGGCCGCGUACCUGACAGAGGUACGGAAUGAUUUUAUGACUCUCCUUAAAAACAAGGAUUGACCCGAGAAGCGGGGACAGGAGUAUAUAAGGGUAGGUUCAUCUGGAUUCAGGGAGUUUUUAGUUAGUCGUUGAGCGAGUUGCCGAGUAAGUCACGCUGAUACUGGUCAUCCCGUGGAUCAUGGAUUCGUUAUCGAACUUGGAUUCGUUGUCACCAUCAUCUCGGACAUCCUAUUGCCGUUACUCAUAGUCUCUUGUAGUGCCCACAUUCGCACUGAUAAACACUAACCACAUCCGCGACGGUAAAGUAAGUAAAGGUUCAUAGAACGCCCCAAAGUGCCAACCUGACUCCGACAUAUAUAUAUAUAAUAUAUAACGUAAUACUAUAUAACGUAAUAGAUCAUAACGCAAUAUAAUGUAACAUACAUAAUAUAAUAUAACGUAAUAAAAUACCACGAAAUAUAGUAUAACGUGACAUAAUAUAACGUACCCUAAUAUAGUGGAGUAUAAUAUAAUGUAAAAUAAUAUAACGUAAUACAAUACCACGUGAUAUAAUAUAACGUAUUGUGAUAUAAUAUAAGCUCCGCUAUCAGCCAAUUCCCUAUGGCCAUGGUCUAGAAGACAAUGUGGCGUCGAGUGAUGGGACAUUGUAUGUGCCGUGUCUUAUAAUUUUAAAAAGCCCGUAAAUCCUGUUUUCAGAUUGCCGCGUCACAGGAUACGCGGAGGGGAGGCUUCCAAGAUCUUCUGCAUACUAGCAUUCCUUCCACCAUUGUGGGGCAAUAUAUUAGCGUUUCCUACCAGAAUGAGACGUGUUUGUGACGAUGGUUUACGUCUUCAAAUCUUCAAAUGACUAAUCUUCUUCUCUACGACUUGCACGAGGUAAGCUGCUGCCCGUGUAACGUUCGAUUUGAGGAUCCCUGUGCAUGCUGCUGCUUAAGCUGACCUAUUUUCGUUCGUGUAAGAAGGAUCAGUCGCGCACAGGGAUAUUUCGGCUAAUAUUUAAUUGUCAAUAACUAAAAAACGACGCCAAAAGCGCAAUUUCUUCAUUCUUGAUUUUCAUUGUAUUUUAGCUCGAUGGAUCACCUCUUCAAUUUUUUUUACACCUGUAGCCGAAUGUGUAGCCCUCGAUGGGCAAAUACGUCGUCGGUCGUCUUGGAAUAAUCGUAGAAACUGAUGGAUGCAAAAUUGAACGAAUUUGCGGGAAGGAUCAUGAAUUCUUGAUGU